rnacentral:rRNA from 1 species
UACGUAGGGUGCGAGCGUUGUCCGGAUUUAUUGGGCGUAAAGGGCUCGUAGGCGGCGUGUCGCGUCGGGAGUGAAAGCCCGUUGCUUAACGGCGGGUUGGCUUUCGGUACGGGCAUGCUGGAGUGCGGCAGGGGAGACUGGAAUUCCUGGUGUAGCGGUGAAAUGCGUAGAUAUCAGGAGGAACACCGGUGGUGUAAACGGCUUUCUGGACCAUAACUGACGCUGAGGCACGAAAGCGUGGGUAGCAAACAGG